UUCACUUCAUGGACUUCCUAUGAUCGUG
rnacentral:piRNA from 1 species